CAGUCGCCGCGGGAAUACAGAGGGUGCAAGCGUUAAUCAGAAUUACUGGGCGUAAAGCGCGCGUAGGUGGUUCGCCAAGUUGGAUGUGAAAUCCCCGGGCUCAACCUGGGAACUGCAUCCAAAACUGGCGAGCUAGAGUAUGGUAGAGGGUGGUGGAAUUUCCUGUGUAGCGGUGAAAUGCGUAGAUAUAGGAAGGAACAUCAGUGGCGAAGGCGACCACCUGGACUGAUACUGACACUGAGGUGCGAAAGCGUGGGGAGCAAACAGGAUUAGAUACCCCCGUAGUCCCUGUCUCUUAUAC
rnacentral:rRNA from 1 species